rnacentral:rRNA from 1 species
UACGUAGGGUGCAAGCGUUAAUCGGAAUUACUGGGCGUAAAGCGUGCGCAGGCGGUUGUGUAAGUCAGAUGUGAAAUCCCCGGGCUCAACCUGGGAAUGGCAUUUGAGACUGCACAGCUAGAGUGUGUCAGAGGGGGGUAGAAUUCCACGUGUAGCAGUGAAAUGCGUAGAGAUGUGGAGGAAUACCGAUGGCGAAGGCAGCCCCCUGGGAUAACACUGACGCCUCAUGCACGAAAGCGUGGGGAGCAAACAGG